rnacentral:rRNA from 1 species
UACGGAGGGUGCGAGCGUUGUCCGGAAUUAUUGGGCGUAAAGAGCUCGUAGGCGGUUCGUCGCGUCGGCUGUGAAAACCCGGAGCUCAACUCCGGGCCUGCAGUCGAUACGGGCGGACUUGAGUGUUGCAGGGGAGACUGGAAUUCCUGGUGUAGCGGUGAAAUGCGCAGAUAUCAGGAGGAACACCGGUGGCGAAGGCGGGGCUCUGGGCAACUACUGACGCUGAGGAGCGAAAGCGUGGGGAGCGAACAGG